rnacentral:rRNA from 1 species
AGAGUUUGAUCCUGGCUCAGAUUGAACGCUGGCGGAAUGCUUUACACAUGCAAGUCGAACGGUAGAGGGGGCAACCCCUUGAGAGUGGCGAACGGGUGAGUAAUAUAUCGGAACGUGCCCAGUCGUGGGGGAUAACGUAGCGAAAGUUACGCUAAUACCGCAUACGAUCUAAGGAUGAAAGCGGGGGACCGUAAGGCCUCGCGCGAUUGGAGCGGCCGAUAUCAGAUUAGGUAGUUGGUGGGGUAAAGGCUCACCAAGCCAACGAUCUGUAGCUGGUCUGAGAGGACGACCAGCCACACUGGAACUGAGACACGGUCCAGACUCCUACGGGAGGCAGCAGUGGGGAAUUUUGGACAAUGGACGCAAGUCUGAUCCAGCCAUUCCGCGUGCAGGAUGAAGGCCCUCGGGUUGUAAACUGCUUUUGUACGGAACGAAAAGGUCUCUCUUAAUACGGGGGGCUCAUGACGGUACCGUAAGAAUAAGCACCGGCUAACUACGUGCCAGCAGCCGCGGUAAUACGUAGGGUGCAAGCGUUAAUCGGAAUUACUGGGCGUAAAGCGUGCGCAGGCGGUUAUGUAAGACAGAGGUGAAAUCCACGGGCUCAACCUGGGAACUGCCUUUGUGACUGCAUAGCUAGAGUACGGUAGAGGGGGAUGGAAUUCCGCGUGUAGCAGUGAAAUGCGUAGAUAUGCGGAGGAACACCGAUGGCGAAGGCAAUCCCCUGGACCUGUACUGACGCUCAUGCACGAAAGCGUGGGGAGCAAACAGGAUUAGAUACCCUGGUAGUCCACGCCCUAAAC